UACAGAGGGGGCAAGCGUUAUUCGGAAUUAUUGGGCGUAAAGGGCGCGUAGGCGGCCUGGCAAGUGGAAGGUGAAAUCCCUCGGCUUAACCGAGGAACUGCCUUCCAAACUGCUUGGCUUGAGUCCGGGAGAGGUGAGUGGAAUUCCCAGUGUAGCGGUGAAAUGCGCAGAUAUCAGGAGGAACACCGAUGGCGAAGGCAGGUCUCUGGGCAUUAACUGACGCUGAGGAGCGAAAGCAUGGGGAGCGAGCAGG
rnacentral:rRNA from 1 species